UAAAACACAAAAAAUAAGUUAGAAUUGUUUCUAAAGGACAGAGAUUAAGAGACCUAGGCAGAAACUUAGGGUUUCAUAAUAAAUUAGUGGGAGGUAAGGAACAUGACUGUAAAACUCGUUAAUAAUGACGUUUGUAGCACCAUCGGGCCAUAAACCAUCGGAGGAAGGCCGAAGACAAGCCAUGCAAGGCCUCCAGUGACCAUCUUGUAUGGUGGAGGAUUCUAGAGUCUUGAAACUAAAGGGAAUCAACAAGGUACAGUUCUAUGGCGGCUGGUGGUCGAGAAAGAAGUGAGGAUGGAGGUGGCCGGAGAGGCGGUGGCUUCAUCGGAGACGAGAGAGAGAACCAAUAAGGUUU
rnacentral:lncRNA from 1 species